rnacentral:rRNA from 1 species
AUGCAGAGGUGGAGGCCGGGAUUCCACCAUGUGGAAGAGAUAGAGAACAAUGUAGUGCGGAGCCUGUUCUGGACAGACUCCUUGUAUAAGAUGAAUUAUGAUCUAUAUGGAGAUUUCAUGUCUUUUGACACCACAUUCUCUACGAAUAUAUAUGGCUUGCCAUUUGCACCAAUUAUAGGUGUCGACAACCACGGGUCGACCGUCCUAUUUGGAGUAGGCCUUUUGAAGGAUGAGAAAAUAGGGUCAUUCAAGUGGCUCCUAAGCACAUUUGUCGAGGCAAUGGGAGGUAAAGAGCCGAAAUACAUAAUAACAGACCAGGACCAGGCGAUGAAGACUGCAAUAAAGGAAGCUCUUCCGAGGACGAGGCACAGGUUCUGCUGGUGGCAUAUUAGGAAGAACCUGAAGGAAAAUAACGCAGCAGCGCUUGCGCAGCACCUAGGGAUGUCUGAUGAUAUAUUUUGA